ACAGUUCUCUGUUUGCAUUUACUUGCCAGAACAUCUGUUGGAAUCUACUUCUGCAGAAGACCAGGUGAAACAACUAGCCUCAAAGGACUGAGUAACUACUAGACUAUUGGAUUUCCCAUCCACAGCUGCCCAUUAGUUGGACUACAGACUAAGCAGAGGUACCGUGAUUGGAGAAACUCCCCGAGGACUAAGAGAACAGCUUCUUCACUUGUUCAUUGAACAGGAAGAGAAGAUGUUGGAACAGAAAGUUUUAAACAAAUACUACCCACCUGACUUUGACUCAGCGAAGAUCCUGAAACUCAAGCUACCAAAGGACCGGCAGUAUGUGGUGCAGCUGAUGGCCCUCUUCAACAUGAGGUUUAAGACAUGUGGAGAAUACAUCCACAAGGGGAAGAAGUUCAACACGCAAAAGGAAACAGUCCAGAGCGAGGCAUAACUGGGCCUGCCAAUCUUCCGAUUCUACAUCAAGUGCACAUGCUGCUUGGCCGAGAUCAUCUUCAAGACAGACCAGAGAACACGGACUACACCUUAGAGCACGGGGCCACGCGCAACGGCCGGGAAGCUUCUGGAAGAGGAGGAGAAGCGCGUGCAGAAGGAGUGAGAGGAUGAGGAACUGAACAACCCCAUGAAGGUCCUAGAGAUCCGGACGAAGGACUCCAAGCUGGAGAUGGAAGUGCUGGAAAACCUGCAAGAGACCUGAACCGGCGGCAGGCGCACAUGGACUUUGAGGCCAUGCUGCGGCAACACCGCCUGUCUCAGGAGCAGUGGUGACAGCAGCAGGAGGAGGAAGAAAAGCAGGAGACAGCGACCUUGCUGGAGGAGGCUUGUCAUUGAAGGCUUCCGGAGGACUCUGACUCAGAGGAUGAGGCUCCACCUUCCCGACCACAGGCAGCUGUAAGACCCAACCCCACAGCCAUCCUCGACAAGGUACCAAAGACCAAGAGGAAAAACAGAGGCCCUGUGCAGCAAAGCACAGUUGGCAGGCUUGGUUGUACCAAAGAAGGUAAUGACGGAGGCCAGCAGGGGCUCAGAGCAAGCAGGUCCGGGUGCCAGCCGCUGGUGCCCCCAAGAGCAGAAACGUGGCCAACCCUACACCCCAGACACCUGGUGCCUCCUCUCUGAGCUAGCUGGGUGCAUAUGGGCACAUCGAGGACAGAGAGACAGCUGAGCACCACUGAUGCUCACCCUAGCAUCAUAGACCCAAGAAAUGAGGAAAUGGGAUCAAGGAAACACCUUCAGCAAAGGCCUCUGGACCAUUUCUGCCAUGGGUCCUGACAAGGUGUGGAGAAGCAAUGUACCCAGGCACCCCAGGACAGAAAGCCUGGUCCACUCCUUCAGGCCUUGAGUUGUGUGGAGCCUGUUGGCUGGUCCCUUCCUGCCACAGAUCUAAACACUGACAUGGAACAGGGGACAGUGACAAUGGGCACCAUCUCCCAACCAUACACAAGGUCUGGGGCUUCACCUGCAUGCAAGACAGUAGUACUGUAAAAAAAAAACCAAGAAUAGAAAAUGAUUUGAAAAGCAAACAACAAAAAAGCAGUUACCCAUUAUGCCUAAGCCAUGUUGGGUGCCACCUGUAGGCAUGAAUUUUUUGCAACCUAAUUUUGAUAGGGUUCAACCUCUUCUCUAGCCCACCACCCAGCAAGAGGUAGUGGAAGACAAAAGUUAUUAGAAUAGGGGGAAGUGGACCUGUUCAGCAAUAGUUCUUUGGGGACAAGCUUGGUCUUCUUGGGCAGCAUUUCAGUCCUGUAGCAAACAUCAUGACUCAGCAGCGGCAGACCCGUCCUCUAGGCAGGCAGAUGCCAGGCAGCUGUAGUUCAAUCCUGAAGAAACUGCCAGGCUCUUCAUCUGGCUUUAGGAGAGGCCACAGAGGCGGCGAGGAACCUCAUGAGCCAUUCUUGGGUGAGUUUCUCUCAAUGGCAGCGUUAUCACCAGCUCAGCUCAACAGCACUGUGUAAGGUGACACCAAUGCAUUCGUGUCUUGAGCGAAGAAAGCAAACCAAACCAAGGCUCACUGCUCAUCUCCCACUGGUCUGUGGGGGCAUAUUUAUACUCCUUCAUCAAGUGUCCUUUCACGUGUUUGCCUUAGCAAGACGUCCUUUCACCUGUGUGCCCCAGCAAAACAUCGUUUGACAUAACUAACUCUCCAAAGAACUAGAGGAUUCCAGUUUAUGUGGGUAUGGGGUUGGGGAUUGGGAGGGGCUAGUUAGUGAGUGUCAUCAGAGUGAAGUUGCCCCAUCUUUGAGGACUUUUACAAGUCAAACAAGAUAAAAGGGAUAGUGUUGAUAGGUUGGAAUGGUACCUGAUAUAUGGUACUAUGAAGUAAGUAGUACUUAUUUUAUUUUGUCAUUAUCAUUGGUGGCACAGCUAUCUAUCUUGUAGUAUCAUUGUGAGCAGAGUAUUAAAUGAAAUGAAAUAACAAAGUUCCUAGCAGAUACCCUGAGACACAAGACUCAGCUGGAAUUAAUUCCUGUCCUCCUUCUGAGGGUUCCUUCCCAAUCCAGUCCACUCCGUGAAGCUUUCCCCUGCUUUCAUGCCCCCUGGCUCACAACAUGGAGACACUUUUGUUAUUUUGGGACCUCAUGGGUGAAGCAUGACUACCAAGGAUACAGGUUGUUGUGGGAGACCUGACUUCUUCCCACUGAGUUUCAGGGAAGCAAGUAAGCUUGCCUAGAGGUAGCAUCCCAGACAACAGAUGCUGAAGUUGAGCUCUCUGUGCUCCUUUAGUUAAGAAUAGCCCCAUGUGCUUGUAUGGAUGAAUAUUUGGUCCCAAAUUAGUGAACUAUUUUGGGAGAGGAGAUGUCGCCUUGUUGAAGGAGGUGUGUCAAUGGGAGUAGGCUUUGGAGUUUCAAAAACCCAUGCCUAGUACUACCUGAGGAUCCAGAUAUACCACUCUCCUGGGCAUUAUACCCAGAAGAUGUUCCAUCAUGUAAUAAGAACACAUGCUCCACUAUGUUCAUAGCAGCCUUAUUUAUAAUAGCUAGAAGCUGGAAAGAACCCAGAUGUCCCUCAAUAAAGGAAUGGUUACCGACAAUGUGAUACAUUUACACAAUGGAGUACUACUCAGCUAUUAAAAACAAUGAAUUUAUGAAGUUCUUAGACAAAUAGAACUAGAAAAUCCUG
rnacentral:lncRNA from 1 species